rnacentral:tRNA from 1 species
GCCGUGGUAGCCAAAGGCUGAAGCACUCAUAAACUUAGUGGGUUGUCAGCCAGCCAUGCCCGGUUAAGGCGCGGGACUCGAGAUCCCGUUCCCCUUUCGGGGAGCACCGGUUCAAAUCCGGUCCACGGCGCCA